GUGGACAAGGAGGCUUUGGCGGUGAAAAAAAAGGUGCACAGGGCGGAGAUGGAGAAGAAGAUCUUGAAAAUGCUAGACCAUCCAUUCUUGCCCACUUUAUACGCAGAGUUUGAGGCGUCGCAUUUCUCUUGCAUUGUAAUGGAGUACUGUUCCGGUGGUGACUUGCAUUCGUUGAGACAUAAGCAGCCUCAAAAACGCUUCUCUCUUAGCUCUGCAAGGUUUUAUACAGCGGAGGUUCUUGUGGCUUUGGAAUACCUUCACAUGCUAGGUAUCAUCUACAGAGACCUAAAACCUGAAAACGUUUUAGUCAGAUCGGAUGGUCACAUCAUGCUCUCAGAUUUUGACCUCUCAUUAUGCUCAGAAGCCAUCCCAGCUGUUGAAUCUCCAUCCUUCUCUCCGGACUCUACUUCUCUAUCUGCGUUGCCCUACACCCGAUCACACUCCAGCAAAACCUUCUCAUGCCUCCUCAACCGGC
rnacentral:misc_RNA from 1 species